rnacentral:lncRNA from 1 species
AAAGUAUUUAAAUAAAGUUUGAAUACUGGUAUACCAGCUCUUUUUCUGCUCAUCAUGUAGAGAUUUUGAGAGGUUGAAAGCCUCUUUUAAUAAUAAGUCAUCAGAUUUUUUAAACGUAUAUAAUAUUUAAACAUAUUUAACAAAACCUCCAAAAAUAGAGGAUAUCUGCCCAGUUCACCCAUAACUGCAAUAUUUGUUGCUUUUUUACUUACUCCAAGUAUAAAUUUACAAAAGCUUAAAUGAGCCUUCUCUACUGCCAGGUCUCCACAUAGUUUUUUGAAAUAGUUAUCCCCUUGAGUGUUUAGUUUGUGAAAGUUAAUGUCACCCAUAUUUCACUGCCAUACAUUAAGACGGAUUUAACUGUAUGGUCAAAAACAUGAAUGAGAGUUUUAAUUUUUGGUUUAUGACCUGAGAAACAUUUUUUUAGUUUAAAUAAGGCCUUUAACCCUUUAUUAUACAUUUCAUGUUGGGCAUCUGUAAAUUUGCCAUUAAUACUAAAUUUGACACCCAAGUAGGUAUAAUUUUUUGUGUUC